rnacentral:rRNA from 1 species
AAGGCUAAAUACUCCUGACUGACCGAUAGUGAACCAGUACCGUGAGGGAAAGGCGAAAAGAACCCCGGCGAGGGGAGUGAAAAAGAACCUGAAACCGUGUACGUACAAGCAGUGGGAGCCCCACCACCAAAGCAUUCUCUGGUGUUGAAGGCCCUGCAAAGCAGCAUCGCGGUGGCGGAGCGUCGUUUGCGACGCCCAACACACAAAACAAGCGGUGAGUGCUUUGGGGUGGGGUGACUGCGUACCUUUUGUAUAAUGGGUCAGCGACUUAUAUUCUGUAGCAAGGUUAACCGUAUAGGGGAGCCGUAGGGAAACCGAGUCUUAACCGGGCGUUAAGUUGCAGGGUAUAGACCCGAAACC